rnacentral:rRNA from 1 species
GACGAACGCUGGCGGCGUGCCUAAUACAUGCAAGUAGAACGCUGAAGGAGGAGCUUGCUUCUCUGGAUGAGUUGCGAACGGGUGAGUAACGCGUAGGUAACCUGCCUGGUAGCGGGGGAUAACUAUUGGAAACGAUAGCUAAUACCGCAUAAUAGUAGAUGUUGCAUGACAUUUGCUUAAAAGGUGCAAUUGCAUCACUACCAGAUGGACCUGCGUUGUAUUAGCUAGUUGGUGGGGUAACGGCUCACCAAGGCGACGAUAUAUAGCCGACCUGAGAGGGUGAUCGGCCACACUGGGACUGAGACACGGCCCAGACUCCUACGGGAGGCAGCAGUAGGGAAUCUUCGGCAAUAGACGGAAGUCUGACCGAGCAACGCCGCGUGAGUGAAGAAGGUUUUCGGAUCGUAAAGCUCUGUUGUAAGAGAAGAACGAGUGUGAGAGUGGAAAGUUCACACUGUGACGGCAUCUUACCAGAAAGGGACGGCUAACUACGUG